rnacentral:rRNA from 1 species
UACAGAGGGUGCGAGCGUUAAUCGGAGUUACUGGGCGUAAAGGGCGCGUAGGCGGUUAAUUAAGUGAGAUGUGAAAUCCCUGGGCUUAACCUAGGAAUUGCAUCUUAUACUGGAGAGCUAGAGUACAGUAGAGGGUAGUGGAAUUUCCGGUGUAGCGGUGAAAUGCGUAGAUAUCGGAAGGAACACCAGUGGCGAAGGCGACUACCUGGACUGAAACUGACGCUGAGGCGCGAAAGCGUGGGGAGCAAACAGGAUUAGAUACCCUGGUAGUCCACGCUGUAAACGAUGAAGACUAGAUGUUGUGUGGCAAGGCCCAUACAGUAUCGAAGCUAACGCGAUAAGUCAUCCGCCUGGGGAGUACGGCCGCAAGGUUAAA